rnacentral:lncRNA from 1 species
AAAUAAUUCCAGCAGGAAGGAACUUUCUCUUUUGGGGAUUACUUGGGUGGGAUUCAUGCCUUUUUUUGUACAUAUUGUAAAAGCUCCAAGCCCUCAGCAAGGGUGGUGCUGCCCAUUCUUGCUCUCUCAGGCACAGUUAAUGCAGGGCCUUGAUCUCUGGGGACACGCCUUUGGCACAGCACUGCCUGAGAAGUAGCUCUGGUCGGGUGGACAGCUAAUGAGCUGUGCUUCCUUUUUGGCUCUCAGGGUCCUCAAUAAGCAAAGGAGAAAUGGCAGAACUCGAAAAAAUGGUAGCAGCCUUCAAAUACUGAGUACUUAUGAUAUGCCUGGCACUGUGCUAAGUGCUUUACAGGAUUGUCUCAUUUCAUAUGAAGUCAGAAAUAUCCUUGUUCCCAUUUUACAACUGAGGAAACC